GCAGUCGACGAGAAAUCCGGCUUCGGUUGGAUGAGUAAAGUGGCGAACGGGUGAGUAACACGUGGAUAAUCUGCCCUUAAAUCUGGGAUAAUCUCUCGAAAGGGGGUCUAAUACCGGAUAAUACCCUUUGGUGGCAUCAUCUUAGGGUCAAAGGCGGGGCAACCUGCCGUUUGAGGAUGAGUCCGCGUCCCAUUAGCUUGUUGGUGAGGUAACGGCUCACCAAGGCCCCGAUGGGUAGCCGGCCUGAGAGGGCGAUCGGCCACACUGGGACUGAGAUACGGCCCAGACUCCUACGGGAGGCAGCAGUAGGGAAUAUUGCGCAAUGGACGAAAGUCUGACGCAGCAACGCCGCGUGGGUGAUGAAGCUUCUUGGAGUGUAAAACCCUGUCAGUGGGGAAGAAACGUAUGGGGAGUAACUGCCCUGUACCUGACGGUACCCGCAGAGGAAGUCCCGGCUAACUCCGUGCCAGCAGCCGCGGUAAUACGGGGGGGACAAGCGUUGUUCGGAUUUACUGGGCGUAAAGGGCGCGUAGGCGGACCUUCAAGUCGGGUGUGAAAACCGGCGGCUCAACUGCCGGCCUGCAUUCGAUACUGUUGGUCUUGAGUACAUGAGAGGAAGGCGGAAUUCCAGGUGUAGCGGUGAAAUGCGUAGAUAUCUGGAAGAACACCAGUAGCGAAGGCGGCCUUCUGGCGUGAUACUGACGCUGAAGCGCGAAGGCUAGGGGAGCAAACAGGAUUAGAUACCCUG
rnacentral:rRNA from 1 species